rnacentral:other from 1 species
AAGUCCCUGCUGUGUUCGUGAUAAGCCAGUUGAUUUUGGCCCAACACCAAAAUUAAGGGAGCCUGGACUCUGGGUGUAGCUUGCAUGCCCAAAUAGUUGGGAAGCGAAAAACACUCAGGAGGGCACCCACCUGCUGGGGAAGCAGGUUCAAAAUAACUGGCUCCACACGACUCGGUGGGGCUUUU